AUGACUUGAUGUCUCAAAUAACGUUGUACUGCUUUGCUGUGCACCGGGCCAAUCGAAUAUAUAUUAACCUCAGUUUUAUCGCGGAAUGACCUAUCUUAUUAAAAACUCUCCUGAUCACUAUCUUUCUGUAUCUGACUGUUCCUGUUGAGAUUUCAUUCAUGGAAUUUGGUGGGUAGAAGUUACCUUUGCUGGAUUUCUAGUUAAUCUUCCCUGCUUACCUAUUUUACUCAAAAUAUGUGGAGCUUCUCUGGUUGUUAUUUUGAGUAAAGUGUUGUGAAAACUUCCCAAUGAACUCUUGGCUCAUGAUUCUCCGUGACUUCCAAAGAGAGAGGGAGAUGUUGGUUUAAAGAAUUUUCAUUUGAUUAUUGGUUAUUCGUUCCCCUUUGAAAUUUAAUUUUGACAUGUUUGAUUCGUAAAUGAGAUUUCCAGGUUCCAUCUAGCAUUAGUUCAUAGUAUUUGUUGUCUACUGGGCUACCUGUGUAUAGGGAUUUUAUAUAUACUGAUGGGAAUAGAAAGCAUUCCAGUCUCACGGGCCCUCUUCCCAGUUUCCCUUUAUGUUUUCUUCCCCUUAAAUAGGACCAUGAGUAUAAGUUCGAUAGAACCUUUAAGUCUUUUGUCUUGCAAAAAAGGCUCGGGAUAUCUGUCCCAUUAUGUUAUAACUUUGUCUAUUCGCUUAUCGCUGAGACUUGGGUACCUCAAAUGGUCACGUAGAAGCAUGUUGCGGGAUGGAACUUGGAAUUUAUACUUCUAAGGUUGAUGUUGAAUAAGAUAAUAUUUAGUUAGUAGCUUUUGAAUGUAUAAAUCUGUUUACUUCUUUUUCUACCCGUAUUCUGAACAUGCUUUGAUUGGUUUUGCAUUUUGAUGUCAAACUUCUGCUUUUCACUUCAUAGGCAUGCAUCCGGAUCGAUAUUAUUCUCUCUUUCACUUGACAAUAUUUUUUCUGAGUUAACAUGUCCAUUCUUUUUAUCAUCUGCCUUCUUUUAAAUAAGAUAUGUGGUUUCCUAGCAUUUUUUUUGUUCGAAUAUUUGUGUUAAGACAUUUAUUGUUCUAUUUUUUCCUUUUGUAUUUCGGAUAUGUUUUGAUUUCUUUUUUUUUUUUUUUUUGCAUGUAAACCACCUUGGAGUCCAAAUGGACUCUUCUUCCUUGCAUUUCAUGGUGAGCUAACAUGGCCCCCAUCCUUUGAGUCAAUCCCAAAAAAGAAUCCAAACGCCUAUCACGUGGCGUACGAAUACUAAGAAUCGAGAGAAGAAUGAUUGGAGUAAAGUCCUAUCAUUUGAAGCAGCUACGAGACCCCAAAGUUUCAUUUAUUAUUUUUGUUUAUUUAAUUAUUGUCAUCUUUAUUUAUUUAUUUAUUUAUUUAUUUAUUUACUUAUUUCCUUAUUUAUUCAUUUGGGCCUCGAAGCCGAAGUUGUACUUAAUACCGGUGAAGCGAGACUCGAUCUAAAGGCUCAAAAACAUAGAAUUAGGACAGGUGGAAGACGGGCUGAAAGCCCAAUAUCUAGAUUAGGACAAGGUUGUCGAUUAGGGCCGAUUGACUCAAGUCCUUCUGCUUCUACCCUUUCCCUUUUACUUAUGCUAAUUUGUUUUAUGUGUUUUGUUGUGAACCUAGUUAAAAUCCCUAGCUAAGUCGCUAAAAACUGUUUUUUCACAAACCUUAAAAAUAUUUCCUAAACAAACUACUUUUUCCAACAAAUCAAUAUUUUUUCAAAGUUAGUCAAAAGUGUUUUCAAACAGAUCGGAUAACCACAAGUUAGCGGAACGUUUUAGGUGCCUAACACCUUCCUAAAACGUUAAUAGGAACCAGUUACUCGGAAUCUCUAAAUCAAAAUGAUUUUCUUGUUUUGAAUCGUUUCGAAGUAACUCUCUAAAGUUUUCUUAAUUCCUUUUCAAAAUUAAGUGGCGACUCUUCUCAAAAAGUCAAAAUUUUUCCGCAAAAUAGACGGAAAGCUUAUUCAAUUCUUUACAAUUUGAAGGUAUAAAUCUGCCAAAAUACCACCUAUAAACCAAGUUAUGCUCGUUCAAAGAUGACCUAUAUGAAAUCACACACGAAAACUUGGUGGAUUCAAAAUUUCUUAGCUUGGCUUACCCUAAGUGACUCUUAUGAACAUGCUUAACACAUCAUAAACUCUAUUAUCACUAGGAUACUCAUCCUAAUUCAUGUACUCCAAUAUGAAUCACAGGAUAGAAGGUUUCAUAUGUAGGAAUAACGGUUCAUUUUCUAGCUUAGAAAUAUACAGGGUAUUACAAUAUUAAAGGACCUGACAAUGUUUUUGUAGAUUUUCUUUCAAGAAACUUCCAAUAUGGACAAUAGAACCUAAGUGUUGGUUAACAGGAUAUUCCAAAGAACGAAUGGCCUUGAAGAAGCCAUAAAUGAUAAAAGCAAUAUGCUAUUUAACAUUCGUGAUGAACUAUCAGCUUUGUCUGAAAUGAUGAGAAAAUGACAAUAUGGACUAAAUUAGCUUAACACUGAUCAAGCUGAAAAUAUCACAGAAUGUCAACUUCUCUGUGAACAUCUGGAUACUAGACCUAAGGGAUCAAAAGUCCCUAACAAAGUGGCAGGAGAUGUCCCACUAGCACCUAGUGCCAAAAAUAUCUCGAUGGUAAGCCUGGAUAUGUUAAUGGCCGAGUCUUCGGACCUAGCUAAAAGACAAGCACAAGAAAAAUUCACUAUAUAAACAACAUCAGUGAAAACUGAAAAACUUCUAAUAAUUCAAAAAAAAGGACUAACUCUUCUGCAGGAAAAAGAUUUGCUUCUUUUCAAGUCUGAAAAAUCCAUCCAAAAGAGGAAGAAUACUUGGCAUUCACCAGACAAAUUUACAAUCUACCAAGUGAGAGUGGAGAAACUUUUGGAAUUCUAGGAACAAAAAGUUUGUAUCCAAGAAUUUCAGUAUUUCCAGGCGGAAAUCCUAGCUUCACAGCUAAAUUAUUUGAAUUCGGAUAUCUGGACUGAGUCUAUACCAAUUCAGAUUUAUCUAAAUUAAUAAAAUUACCAAAUCAAUUAACAAGUUCAAUAAGAAACUUUGCUGAGGGACAUGGAGUCUAUUGCAGAUUUUACAGCAUAUCCAUGGAAUUUCAAAAUGAAAAAUUAUUUUUUCCAAUGAUUAAUUACAUCUCGGUGAAAAUAUUAAAGACUUUCAGUAUCAGCGCAAUAGACGUAGGUAAAAAAUUCCUGUAUUUGAACUCAAAAUGGAUUCAAACAAGGAGAGCUUUAGCGAUGAAGGCCCUGUACAACAUCCUUAAAAACAUUAUGAAGAUAAUUAUAAAUCCAUGACAGGGAUACACAUUGGGUUUUUAUGACCAGAGAAAAAUCAAAGUCAGAAGUUCUAAAGGAGAAAAUUACUAAAUUUGAAACACAUUAAUUCUAGGCUACCCCAGAAACAUGGGUAAUGGCGUGCAAAUUACUGGAGCACAAGCACAACAAAGAAGAAGAUGAAGAUAGCACAUCAAUGUAAAAAAAAAUAUAAAUUACAACUAUAAAAAGAAUCGAAAGGCAAUAUUAGAGCAAAAGACGUAAGAACUUACGUCAAAAUAUUCGUCGGCAUAAAGCGAUAAAAUAAAAAAAGAAUAUUGGACCACUUAGUCUAAAAGAUGCCACAAAAGGAAAAAGAAAGAUCAUCCAGAUAAGGGUCCAAAAAGAAAUAGAAGAUUUUUGAAGAAUCCAAAAAAAAUAGAUAAUUAUAAUUCUACCCCUCCUUACAUCUAUAAAAGGAGUGAUUGAAACACAAGAAGAGGCGGAACAACUUUUCUGAAAUCUUCCAUUUUGGAAAAAUAUUAGGUGUCCUGCAAAUAAGUGAGUAAAACGUUUCUCCCAUCACGAAAAUGUAUCUAAAUAGUUUGUAUGUAAGUAUAAGGAAGAUCUGAUUAAAGAUUUUUUCUUAUGUAGUAUUUUUAUAAUAUAAAGAUUUUUGUUUAUAUAUCUUCUGUCCAAUUCAUAUGUUAGCCACAAGUGAAGGGCGUGAUCUUCCGUAUCGGAGGAAAGACAAUAGGAUAGCCUCAGACCGAAUGUGGUACUAUUACAGCUAGCAAAAGAAAAAGUUGAAAGGUAUAAAUAUUAAACUCCAAGUUUUCAUGAAACUAUUAGCAUAAGGAGAAAUCUAUCUUCAUGUCUUUUAAUACUUAUUCAUACAUACUAUAUGAUACUAGGUAGCUGUAAAGAAUAAAGAUUAUCAUGAAAUGUUCAAUAUUUCAAUGAGUUAUUACACUAUUUUUCUUGAUGAUGAAACAUUAACCACCAUUUUAAUGGUAAUUAAAUUAAAAGAGAUUUGCAAGAGAAAAUUCUUGAAAAAAUCAUAGAUAACCUUGUUCAAGAAGAACGGUCUAUAAAUGAUUAGUCAUAUAUAUAUAGUGAUAAUGAAUCAUACUAUUUGUAUAAUGAAAACUAUUUCACUGACUAAAUCAAAUAAAAUUUCGCAUACCCUGUUUGUGAACAACACCCCUCCAAGUUGGUAUCAGAACCAAUAAGAUUAAAAUACUCUAUGAGAAGUCCUCGUAAAAAUACUAAAACUUAUAGAGAAAUCAAGAGAGAAUUAAAAAGUCUUUAUUUUGAAUAUAAAAGACUUAACAAUACAAAAGAAGAUCUAAUGAGAUUGGAUUAGCUAAUCACCAUAAUCUCUAGACUAGAGUAUAAUCUAAUUAGACAUCUGGAGUCCAGAAAUAAAACCAAAUGAAUAAAGAACAAAACAACGAACAAAUUUUAAAAUUGAUUUUGGAUUAAAAAAACUAGAAGUUAUUAUUCAAAAAAAUCGCUAUGAAUAUAAUUUAUUCACAUGAGUUUGCAAAAAAUCACUAUUCUCUCAAAGAAAAGUUAUACUUCAGUUGGAACUUGAAAUUUUCCACUAUGAUCAUAAGCUCUGACAUAAUCUAUAUUAACUUGCUAUGGGUUAUAACAAAAUUUUACAAAAACUUGAUGACCUUAUUGACAUACAAAAGCAUCUAGUCGUAAAAAUCAACCUAAUAGAAAAGAAAAUCUAGUUUAUCAAAGAAAGUUCACCUAUAAGGGUAAAAACCUCAUCGAAAGGCCUGCCGCCUUUGAUAAAGAAUUAGGAAAGAAGUUUAGGAGAGAAAUUUUUGCUCCCUCCUUCUCUAAUAAAGGUAUAUAUCAAAAGGGUAGCCUUGAUGAAAAGAUUAUAUCUAGAUUUCUCGAAAAGAAACGAAAGGCGGAAAUAGAGGAUAAAUCUACUCUUAAAAGAGAAGAAAAUUCUAGUUCCAAACUAAAAGAAGGUUCUAGUUCAAAAACAAAAAUAGAAGAAUCAAAUGAAUGACAUAGAUGAAUUAAUUUAUGAAUUAGAAUAACUUGAUCUAAAAGACCAAGAUUACCAUGUUCUCAUGAACAGAGGAGAUACAGGAGGACUACAAGGAAACUUUAGGAGUCCUAAAGAAAAAGGAAGCUCUCUUCUACAGAGCCUAUGCAAAAAGAUAAUUUCUUUCCUAAAUCCAAAAAAGAAAAAGACUAUAAUAGUCAAUAUCAUAACAAUAAUAAGGCCAAAUACAUGCCUAAAAGACUUUUAAAAGGAGCCACUGGAUCUACUCAGUUUUUAGAUCUAUAUUGUAAAAGAGAACCAGGAGAAUUUCUGGAUUUAUGGGUUAAAAACCUAGAAUUAUUCUUCAUCACGAGAAAAGGAGUAAACUAUACAAAUGACGAAAAUUAUUUAAUUGCUGCUAACACCUUUACUGGAAAGGUAAACAAUUGGUUUAAAGGAGUAUCAGAAGAUGCUGAAAAAGUUUUUAAAAUUGAAGUCAUAGAGCAGUUUGAAAAAUCAACUAGAGCAGGAAUAGACCAUAGUAAACUAUGUUGGAUGUGAAUUCUUAGGUAUCUAAGGGGAUGUCUCUAGAGAAAAAGAAACCAAAGGCUAUUAGCAGCAGAAUGCCGAAAGAAACUUCAAAUUUGUAAAAUGAGCUAUAUCCAUGAAUAUACCUGCAAAUUUGAAAAAUACUACUACAAUCUAUUUGAAAGUAGCCUAAUCAUGAAGACAUAUAUGGAUAAAUACUUCUAAAAUCUACCAGGAUUUUGGGCUAGUUAAUUCAGGGAAGAAUAUGCUUAAAGAAGAUCAAACAGGUGAUUUAUUAGGGAAAAGAAUUUCAUUUCUUAAUCAAAGAAUUAGCUAUCUUUGUAUGUUACAUAAUAUACAAAGAAAAUCCAAAAGAAUCAACACCCAAAUUUAUUGUGAAGAUACAGAAGCAACAUCAUAAUGGGGAUGUCAUAAAAGAAAUCCUUUAAAAAGAAAAAGAAAAGACAAAGGAUUAAUCAAAAGAAAAAAUGUCUCCAAAAUAAAUUAUGUACCAAAAAAGGGUAUUUCAAAAAACGAAGAAACUUGAAAAAGAAAUCCACAGACAAAUGUAAGUGCUAUAAUUAUGGAGAGGAAGGUCACAAAAUUUAUGAGUGUAACAAAAAGAAAGUUUAAAUCUCUAAAAUAGAUAGACAGGAAAUUGAUUCUGACUUAGAGUCAAUAACAUCUAUCAAAAGUGAAGACAUUUACAUAGAACUCUAUGAAGAAUUCUCAGAUUUGAGUACUGAUUUAGAAGAAUGAAUCAAUAAAUUGAGAAUCUAGAGAAAACCACUCAAGUUAUAGAAGUUGAAGAAGAUCGGCGAGGAUAUGCUUUGAAAACAACAUACGAUGGAGAAUUAUUAAUAAAAAUUCAAGGAUUAAAAUUUAACCUUAGAACUGAAGAUAGUCUAUUCAGUAGGUUACAAAGAACCUUUUCAAGAGAUCAAAUCUCAUACCACGAAUAUCAAGAAAUUGAAAAGGCAAUAGAGAUAACUUUAACCACUGAAAGAUACAAGAUUAACUUAUUAACAAAGCAAAUGAUCUACCAAAUUCUAAGAAAAAUUUUGGAAAGACAAAGAAAGAAGAUGAAUUACAUUCAUCUUAGAGGAAUCGAAAAAAUGGUAAAAUCCACCUUAAAAGAAGGAAUUAAAUAUCCUAAAGUUAUCAACCUUUCAGACGAAAGAUUUAUUAACACAAGGAAGGAAACCUAGGUAUUGUUGAAGAAAAUUUAGCUUACACCAAAUUAUUAUUUACCUACUAUCCAAGGUAUUGCAUAUCACUGAAAGAUGCCAACUUUAAUGAAGCCUUAAGUUUGCAUUUUCAGGUAAAAAGAGAUGAUUUAUUUAAACCAGGUAACCAUAUUAUGAGUAUUUAUUAUCAAACUCAGUUUUUAGAUCUAUAUUGUAAAAGAGAACUAGGAGAAUUUCUGGAUUUAUGGGUUAAAAACCUAGAAUUAUUCUUCAUCACGAGAAAAGGAGUAAACUAUACAAAUGACGAAAAUUAUUUAAUUGCUGCUAACACCUUUACUGGAAAGGUAAACAAUUGGUUUAAAGGAGUAUCAGAAGAUGCUGAAAAAGUUUUUAAAAUUGAAGUCAUAGAGCAGUUUGAAAAAUCAACUAGAGCAGGAAUAGACCAUAGUAAACUAUGUUGGAUGUGAAUUCUUAGGUAUCUAAGGGGAUGUCUCUAGAGAAAAAGAAACCAAAGGCUAUUAGCAGCAGAAUGCCGAAAGAAACUUCAAAUUUGUAAAAUGAGCUAUAUCCAUGAAUAUACCUGCAAAUUUGAAAAAUACUACUACAAUCUAUUUGAAAGUAGCCUAAUCAUGAAGACAUAUAUGGAUAAAUACUUCUAAAAUCUACCAGGAUUUUGGGCUAGUUAAUUCAGGGAAGAAUAUGCUUAAAGAAGAUCAAACAGGUGAUUUAUUAGGGAAAAGAAUUUCAUUUCUUAAUCAAAGAAUUAGCUAUCUUUGUAUGUUACAUAAUAUACAAAGAAAAUCCAAAAGAAUCAACACUCAAAUUUAUUGUGAAGAUACAGAAGCAACAUCAUAAUGGGGAUGUCAUAAAAGAAAUCCUUUAAAAAGAAAAAGAAAAGACAAAGGAUUAAUCAAAAGAAAAAAUGUCUCCAAAAUAAAUUAUGUACCAAAAAAGGGUAUUUCAAAAAACGAAGAAACUUGAAAAAGAAAUCCACAGACAAAUGUAAGUGCUAUAAUUAUGGAGAGGAAGGUCACAAAAUUUAUGAGUGUAACAAAAAGAAAGUUUAAAUCUCUAAAAUAGAUAGACAGGAAAUUGAUUCUGACUUAGAGUCAAUAACAUCUAUCAAAAGUGAAGACAUUUACAUAGAACUCUAUGAAGAAUUCUCAGAUUUGAGUACUGAUUUAGAAGAAUGAAUCAAUAAAUUGAGAAUCUAGAGAAAACCACUCAAGUUAUAGAAGUUGAAGAAGAUCGGCGAGGAUAUGCUUUGAAAACAACAUACGAUGGAGAAUUAUUAAUAAAAAUUCAAGGAUUAAAAUUUAACCUUAGAACUGAAGAUAGUCUAUUCAGUAGGUUACAAAGAACCUUUUCAAGAGAUCAAAUCUCAUACCACGAAUAUCAAGAAAUUGAAAAGGCAAUAGAGAUAACUUUAACCACUGAAAGAUACAAGAUUAACUUAUUAACAAAGCAAAUGAUCUACCAAAUUCUAAGAAAAAUUUUGGAAAGACAAAGAAAGAAGAUGAAUUACAUUCAUCUUAGAGGAAUCGAAAAAAUGGUAAAAUCCACCUUAAAAGAAGGAAUUAAAUAUCCUAAAGUUAUCAACCUUUCAGACGAAAGAUUUAUUAACACAAGGAAGGAAACCUAGGUAUUGUUGAAGAAAAUUUAGCUUACACCAAAUUAUUAUUUACCUACUAUCCAAGGUAUUGCAUAUCACUGAAAGAUGCCAACUUUAAUGAAGCCUUAAGUUUGCAUUUUCAGGUAAAAAGAGAUGAUUUAUUUAAACGGUUACAAAGAACCUUUUCAAGAGAUCAAAUCUCAUACCACGAAUAUCAAGAAAUUGAAAAGGCAAUAGAGAUAACUUUAACCACUGAAAGAUACAAGAUUAACUUAUUAACAAAGCAAAUGAUCUACCAAAUUCUAAGAAAAAUUUUGGAAAGACAAAGAAAGAAGAUGAAUUACGUUCAUCUUAGAGGAAUCGAAAAAAUGGUAAAAUCCACCUUAAAAGAAGGAAUUAAAUAUCCUAAAGUUAUCAACCUUUCAGACGAAAGAUUUAUUAACACAAGGAAGGAAACCUAGGUAUUGUUGAAGAAAAUUUAGCUUACACCAAAUUAUUAUUUACCUACUAUCCAAGGUAUUGCAUAUCACUGAAAGAUGCCAACUUUAAUGAAGCCUUAAGUUUGCAUUUUCAGGUAAAAAGAGAUGAUUUAUUUAAACCAGGUAACCAUAUUAUGAGUAUUUAUUAUCAAACUCUAUAUGCAGUUACCAAUUCAAAUUAUGGAAAUGUCUAAAAAAAAUAAAGGCUUGGUUGAAACUAAUCAAGAAUGUGCAGGGAUAGCUAGAUAGUUGAAGCAGAAGUUCAACAGGCAGAAAUCCCGAGUGAAUAUGAAAUUCAAGUUGGAAGAGCCCUAGAAAUAGAAAACUCAAGUAUCUCAAACUUGAGACUCUCUAUAGAGUAUGAAAGAAAUGCCAUAAGAAAAGGUAAUUCUAAAAUAAUUACCAAUGAAAACUCUAAUAACAUUCCUAAAGUUUCAGGAAGAUUUUUUACUGGAAGCAACUGGAAUAAACAAACCAUUCUAAUUCAAUCAGGAUCUUUAGCAAACCAUGUUAAGAAAAGUAUCCUAGAUGGUUUAACCACGUAUGAAGGUACCCCAUACAUUUAUAAAACAUUUGAAGGAAACAACUACAACUGCUCAAAAAUGAUAAAACUAUCAAUCCAGUUUGAAUCAACUAGAAUAACUGUUCCCUGUUAUAUUACCAAUCAUGAAAAUGAUUAUAAUAUAAUAUUGGGAGGAACAUUUCUCAAUAUUUUGGAUCAAUAUAAUAUCUAAAAGGAAGGAAUUAACAUAACCUUUGGCAAAAAAACUUAUUUUAUCCCUAAAAGCUAAAUGCCAAAAGAAACCUCUUUUAGAGUAGCAGUAUUUGUAGAAUUUACUACUUACGAAAAAAAUUGACAUCAUGUUGUCAGAUAGACAAUGAUUCUGAAGCUAGUUUAGCUAAAUUUUUUUUGAUAAAAGACUGGAAAACUACUACUAUUAAUGCUUCCGUUGUCAGUGUUACAGGUGACAGGGAAAAGCUCACACAUUAUAAAUAAAAUGUGGAUGUUACCAAUAGAGCCACCGACAUCGAAUGGGCAUAGGUUUAUUUUGGUUGCCAUCAAUUACUUUACUAAGCCAUCACUAAGAAAGUGAUUGCAGAUUUUAUAAAGAAUAACCUGAUUUGCUGAUUCAGCGUGCCAGAAUCAAUCAUUACAGAUAAUGAGGCCCACUUGAACUGUCACUUGAUGAAUGAAAUUUGUGAUCAAUUCAAAAUUACGCAUCGCAACUCGACUGCGUAUCGUCCCCAAAUGAACGGAGCAGUGGAAGAUGCCAAUAAGAACAUCAAGAAGAUCUUGAGAAAGAUGGUUGAAAAUGAUAGAUCAUGGCAUGAGAUAUUAACUUACGUCUUGUUAGGGUAUCGCACGACGGUUCGAACCUCCACUGAGGUAACUCCAUAUUAAUUGAUUUAUGGAAAUGAAGUGGUGAUACCUGCUAAAGUUAAAAUACCUUCCCUAAGGAUUAUCCAAGAAGCUGGACUAAGUAACGAAGAAUGGGUUCGUACUUGCUAUGAACAACUCAUGUUGAUUGAUGAAAAGAGAAUGGUCGUUGUAUGCCAUGGUCAGCUAUAUCAACACAGGAUGGUUCAUGCCUUUAACAAGAAGGUGAGAGCUUAAAUAUUUGAAGUGGGGAAAUUGGUUCUCAAACGAAUAUUCCCUCACCAAAAGGAGUACAAGGGAAAGUUCGCUCCAAACUGGAAAGGGCCACACAUAGUUCGCAAGAUACUAUCUGGAGGAGCUCUGAUUUUGUCUGAGAUGGAUAGCACAGAGUGGACCAAACCAAUCAAUUCUGAUGCGGUAAAGAGAUAUUAUAUUUAAAGGGCGUUCUAGUUUCGUGUUUAUUUAGUUAAUUUACUUGUAAUCACAUUUGUAGUAAUGUUGUUUUCUAGUAUGUAACUGCCUAGAAUCCUUUCCCUUUAUGUAUGAACUACGUUUGACCUGAAUUCCCAAGAGAGGGAUACGUAGGCGGCCUAUGUCGGCUUCGGUCAACCCCUUAGGAUAAUUUAUCCUUUCCCUUUAUGUAUGAACUACGUUUGACCAGAAUUCCCAAGAAAAAGAUAUGUAGGCAGCCUAUGUCAGCUUCGGUCAACCCCUUAGGAUAAUUUAUCCUUUCCCUUUAUGUAUGAACUACAUGAUGACCUGAAUUCCUAAUAAAGGUAUACGUAGGUGGCCUAUGAUGGCUUCGGUCAACCCAUUAAUAUCAUUUGUAUAUCCCUAGCAUAGUUCUAAACUACGUUUGACCUAAUUCUUGCUUCAACGGGAUACGUAGGCACCCCAACUUCUUGGUCAUAUAACCCCAGGAAAUAGAAACUGGGAUAGAAUUUUUGAGAAGGAAUAAAUUCACAAGAUAAGAUCAACGUCCGACAAAGAGAAUGAAGAUCAGCAAAGACUUCAAAUCCACUCGAGUUGGUAUCAUCUCAAACAACUCUAAACUAUGGCAGAAAUUUUGAGGGAAGACCUCAAAAUUUACACCAGAUGCUGGAACAUAUUUCAAAUUCCCCAACACCAGAGGUUAAGGCCAAGAUUUUAAAGUAGUCAGCUGCGACAAAGUCUAGGAAAGGUCAAUCUCUUGCUAUGAUAGAACUAUUUGAAGAAAACCUACAACGAUGAUCAUGAGCUUUGGAAAUCAUCCGUCGGAUAUAGUCAAAACCACGAGAAAGAAGUUCGUUGAGCUAGUACAUGACAUGACUGACAGAGAUUUUCUAGAGUUUUACAGAAGUUUUCAAAAUUAUUUUUAAAAAAUUAAGACUAUUUUUAAAAGAAUCUUACAACUCAUUAAUUUAGUACUUGCCUAGACAUCACUUGGGGUGGAGUGUCAGGAUAGAAUGUCCAGAUAUGGUGGAAUGCCCAAGAGAGGAAAAGAAGCAAAUCAAGGAUCGAAGAAGGUCAACACGGAGUGAUUUCAUUCAAACUAAUCAUUUUUCUGUGAAUGCAGGGAUGAAUACACAAAAGUGAGGGUUUCUUUCAAUAAUUCCUGAGCAAAUUGGGAGCCACAACAGAGUAUUAAUGCCUAAGAACGGUACAUGUAGAAAGCAAGAUGCUGACAAAUGAAGUCAGGUAAAAUCAUUUUAAAAUUUCCCAAGAGGGGUAUUGCAUAUCAUUGCCGAAAGGGCCAUUACAUAUCAUUGUCGAAAGGGCCAUUGCAUAUUAUUGCCGCAAGAGCCAUUACAUAUCAUUGUCGAAAGGGCCAUUGCAUAUUAUUGCCGCAAGAGCCAUUACAUAUCAUUGUCGAAAGGGCCAUUGCAUAUCAUUGCCGCAAGGGCCAUUAUAUAUUAUUGCUGCAAGGGCCAUUACAUAUUAUUGCUACAAGGGUCAUUACAUAUCAUUGCCGUAAAGGUCAUUGUGUAUCAUUCCCGUAAGGGCCAUUGCCUAUCAUUGCCGCAAGGGCCAUUACAUAUCAUUGCCGCAAGGGCCAUUAUAUAUCAUUGGCGUAAGGGCCAUUAGAUAUCAUUGCCACAAGGGCUACUGCAUAUCAUUGCCACAAGGGCCAUUACAUAUCAUUGCCGAAAGGGCCAUUGCAUAUCAUUACCGCAAGGGCCAUUGCAUAUCAUUGCCGUAAGGGUCAUUACAUAUCAUUGUCGCAAGGGCCAUUGCAUAUCAUUGCCGCAAGGGACAUUGAAUAUCAUUGCCACAAGGGACAUUGCAUAUCAUUUCCGCAAGGGCCAUUACAUAUCAUUGCCACAAGGGCCAUUACAUAUCAUUGCCGCAAGGGCCAUUACAUAUCAUUGCCGAAAGGGUCAUUGCAUAUCAUUACCGCAACGGCCAUUGCAUAUCAUUGCCAUAAGGUCCAUCACAUAUCAUUUCCGUAAGGGCCAUUGCAUAUCAUUGCCAAGAGGACCAUCUCAUACCAUCGCCCAAGAAGGCUAUUCAUAUAUCUGUUGACACACGAGAUACAACACUGACACGAGGAUAUCUUUAACAUAUCUGUUGACAUGCGAGACACAAUGCUAGCGUCGAGAAUAUCAUCACCAUUCAAUAUUUAUUGACAUGCAAGACAUAAAUGCUGGCAUCAAGGAUAUCAUCAGCAUUUCAUAUCUGUUGACACGCAAGAUAUAAAUACUGGCGUCAAGGAUAUCAUCAGCAUUUCAUAUUUGUUGACACGCGAGGCACAAUGCUGGCGUCGAGGAUAUCAUCAACAUAUUUAUUGAUACGCAAGACACAGCACUGGUAUUAAGGAUAUAAUCAGCAUUCAAUAUAUCUGUUGACAUGCGAAACAUAACACUGGAGUCGAGGAUAUCAUCAGUAUUUAAUAUAUCUAUUAACAUGCAAGACACAACACUGGUGUUGAGGAUAUCAUCAUCAUUUUAUAUCUGUGAUAUGCAAUACAUAAAUGCUGGUGUCGAGGAUAUCUUAUUAUUUUAUAAAUCAUCAUCUGAAUGCAUUGAAAGCUCACUAUUUGAAGGAAUACCUUUAAGUUACUAUCUAAGGAUGAAUGAUAUAUAAGAUUUCCUAGAAAUUGACAAUUUGAGGGUCAUCUAUAAGUCAUAUUAUUUAAAUUAGGAUAGUGUGCAAGAUCACCUAUGAGUUGAUAGCCUAUAGGUCAUCCAUAAGCCACAACAACAUCCUAACCGGAUAUUGUGCAAGAUCGCUCAAAAAUUGAUAGUUCAAAGGUUAUCCACAAGUCGUAACUAAAUUCUUAUCGGAGAAUAUGGAAGAUUAUCAAAUUGAUACGUCCAAGGGUUCUCUAUAAGCUGCGUCAUAUCCAAGAUCGAUUAUGUGUAGGAUUACCCAAAGGCUAACAAUUUGAGGAUUAUCUAUAAAUCGUAUUGUAUCCAAGGUCGGAUGAUGUGCAGAAACCCCUAAAAGCUAGCGAUUGGAGGGAUAUCUGUAAGUCAUCUAUUAUCCAAAGUCGGAUAAUGUGCAGGAUUACCUAAAAUCUUGAAAUUCAAAGGAUAUCUGGAAGUCGCCUCGUAUCAAACAUCAAAUAAUGCACAAGAUUAUCCAAAGAUUGAUAAUUUAAAGAAAAUUUAUAAAUCGAUCAUCGGCUAUAACCGGAGAGGUUAUCAUUCCACAUACAACAAGUGAUAUAGGUAACUAAAAGGGUUGCCACAUCAGCACAAGAUUACACAGUUGUAGAAACCGUUCUGCAUAAAGUAUCGCCGGUCUCUAAAAGAGCCACCCCACUUUGAAGACAUAUUAAACCGAUAAAUGUCAUAAUUAUACAACAACCAAGAGGGUUGUUGUGUUUCUUGUUGCCAGUUCUUUCAUUCUAAAUAGGUACAUGAAGAGAUGAAUCCGCUUUUCAGGCCACAACUCACGUGGAGAUAUGGUAAAAGACUACAUACCUCUUUCGUAAAUUAUGUUUAGUACUAACACUUUUUGCUUGAAGAAUUGUUGAGAGCAUUCGAGAGGAUGAAAAUCUCAAAUAAAAACCACAGGUGCGGACGACUUCAAGUAGGACGCAGCACAAUGUGAAACUCUUUUUUAGUAGCAAAAUAGGACAUAGUCUAAAGAGGUACGUCAAACUCUUUGGACGCGAGCUAAAGGAUGAUUACCACCACCAUCCAACCACACCCCUGUUAGAUGGCAUGUGGGUAUUUCAGGAUAUUGUGAUUUCAGCUUCACCUUCGAGAUAUUUUAAACUCAUACCGAGAGUAACCUUCUCUUUUUUUCAAAUUUGGGUGGCAACACACUUAGUGUUUUGGAAAUUAUGUCCAGGUAAGUUAUUGCCUAUGGAUGUGAAGGAUCACACAUUCAUGAUUAAGAGGUUACAAUAUUUUUUUGAAACUCGAUCAACUUGUCACUCAUCCUAAGCCAAAGAUCGUCUGAAAUAAAAGACUAUCUUUCCUACCAAUAGAGUCGAACUACAAGCAGUCUGAUUCUCUGAAAUCUUGGGGAUAUGUAGGUUGGGAUAUAUAUAGAAAACUCGACUGCAUUCCAACCUCUCCCCAAAUCCCUCUAUUCCCCAGCUUUCCGGUUUUAUCAAAAACUCCAAAAAUUGAGACAGCUUGUGAAUUAUUUAAAAAUCAUGCUUUAAAUCAAGUUUUAUGAACUACAAGUGGCCUGAAUUCUCAUGCAACCUGAAAUCUGUAGGAAACCUGAUGCCAAGGUUUGACCAUAACUCUAGAAACUCGUGUGGAAAACAAACUGCUCUUAGAUAUAAAUUUGUGGUCGGACAAAAAUUAGGAGCGUCAACCUCCCUUUGCCCAGAAUUACUUGCAUCCAUCCUACCCAAAUGGAGGGGGCAGUUGUUGAUACCUAAUUUUUGCCCUCCACAACUACGUUUAAUCUCGAGUUUCUUUGAUUUUCAAAUAAAAUCACAUCAAUUAUUUUUUCCAAAUAAAUGCAUUUUAAAAUAGGCAUUUGGGAUAAAUUUGACAAUGAAGUGAUAAUUAUAUAUUUUUUCAUAUUUGCAUAUAUGAGAUUGUAUAAAUGAUGUCAUUUAAAUAAACAUUUUCAUCAAAAUUGGAAUUUAAAUUAAGGAUUAUUUAGAAAAUAAAUUUAAAUAAUUAAAUCUUGAUUUAAAUAUAAUUUAUUAUCAUAAAUAAUCUAUUUGGAGAAAUACUUGUUUCAUUUUAUUAAGUUAAGAAGCUCGGGACUGAGUGAAAUAUUUAUUUGUAUCAAAUUUUGAUUAAUUUGGGCCAAUCUAUUAAAUUUGACAAUAAUCAAAAUCAAAUCGGCCUCGAUUGCAAUGCAAUUGGCUAAUUGAUUUUCAAUUAGGCUAAAAUUUAAAUGAAUUUAGUUGAUUCUUAAUUCAAUUGGGGUUAUUUGUUAAAUAACACCAAUUUCAGCCUAUUCUUUAUCUUUAAUCACCGGCCCAAAACAAAACAAUAUCAGACCUGGGCCCAUUUAUUCAUGCAAUUUCAAUGGCCCAACCUCAAUUAAAACUCUCAGCCACUAUUCCCUUCCCUAGCCCAGUCUAAUGAAAGCCGCGACCCGGGCCCAAUCCACCCUUAUCUUCUUAUCCACAACUAUCAACACCAUUCAAUUUAAUAACAACGUAUAAAUCAACCUUCAACAUCGAUGACAAAAUCAAUCCAAAGCACAACUCUCCUCCCAAAUCUAAGGACCCGAUAACACCCCCAACAACUCACUUACCCAAGCUCCAACCCAUCUGUUUCUUUAUCGUCACGUGCCUUUCCACGUGAAUUCGUAUAGAAAAGUUCGAAAACCUUCUAGAAAGAACUUAGCUAUCAUCAUACAAUGUCCAUAUUCCACAAAUCUCGGGACAUAUGGUAUAAUUUGGUACAUUUGUGGGGGAAUUCGAUUGGAUUAAGAGAGAUUCCAUUUCUCCGCAUUGAUUUCCCUGGGGGAAUAAUCCAAAUAGGUACAAGUCACUUGUUUUGGAAACCCUAGCCUCAAUUUGAAUUUUGAAUUUCUCUUCUUUUUUAAAUCCCUAAAUUUUCCCUAAUUAGUCUUCUAUAUAAGAACCCAUUUAGGUCACUGUUAGGGGGUCAAAAAAAUUCUGGGGGGUUAUUUGGAGGCUGAUAAUUCUGGGGUUUAGAAAAUUUUCUAAAAACCUAGGUUGAACAAAAAUUUUUCUUUUGGGUAAAAAAAGGAAAGUUUUGAAAAAAAGUAAUUUGGUUUUGGGGAAAGCGUAACUUUGUUCGGUAAAGAUUUUAGGGAGAAAUAGUUAGCUAGUCGAGUGUUCAUGAUGGUAUUGAGCUUUCUUGGUGGUGAUAAGAGUCCGAUCUUAGAUUGUUGCCCCAUUUUGCUGCUUCGAGAGAGGUAAACACCUCUUUUUCAUUUUAAUUUUGAUGUGGUUUUCUAUUCUUCAUCUCUUUCUUUAGGAUUUCAUUAUAGUAAUGUUGUUGUGUGCUGGGAUUAUGUAUUGUAGGAGCCAUGAAGGCCAUUGAAUUUUUAGUCUGGUAUUUGUUUAAAGAAAUUUUCCUAAUCAGUUUGUUUUACUGGUUUUUCCAUGAGUUUCUCCUUUUCUCUAUGUAAACUUGUUCAAUACAUUGUCAGUGUGAACCAUGGUUUUACGUGAAAGGUUACUUUUUUUAUACCUGUACAUUUUUUCUGACCUGAAUAUGGAAGCAAACCUCAAAUGACAACAUUCAUUAGUAUCUUGAAUGAAAUUCGUUGACUGCUUUUGUGUAAAUGAGAUAAUGACUUGAUGUCUCAAAUAAUGUUAUAUUGCUUUGCUGUGCACCGGACCAAUCGAAUAUAUAUUAACCUUAGUUUUAUCGCGGAUUGCACUGUCUUAUUAAAAACUCUCCUGAUCGCUAACUUUCUGUAUCUGACUAUUUCAGUUGAGGUUUCAUUCAUGGAAUUUGUUGGGUAGAAGUUACCUUUGCUGGAUUUCUAGUUAAUAUCCCUUGUUUACCUGUUUUACUCAAAAUCUGUGGAGCUUCUCUGGUUGAUAUUUUGAGUAAAGUAUUGUGAAAACUUCCUAAUAAACUCUUGGCUCGCGAUUCUCCGUGACUUGCCAGAGAGAGAGAGAUGUUGGUUUAAAGAAUUUUCAUAUGAUUAUUGGUUAUUUGUUCCCUUUUGAAAUUUAAUUCUGACAUGUUUGAUUCGGAAAUGAGACUUCCAGGUUCCAUCUAUCAUUAGUUCGUAGUAGUUAUUGUCUACUGGACUACCUCUGUAUAGGGAUUUUAUAUAUACUCAUGUGAAUAGAAAGCAUUCCAGUCUCACGGGCCCUCUUCCUAGUUUCCCUUUAUACUCACAAGCCCUCUUCCCAGUUUCCCUUUAUGUUUUCUUCCCCUUAAAUAGGACCAUGAGUAUAAGUUCGAUAGAACCUUUAAGUUUUUUAUUUUGUGAAAAAAGCUCGGGAUAUUUGUCCCAUUAUGAUAUAACUUUGUCUAUUCGCUUAUCGCUGAGACUUGGGUACCUCAAAUGGUCAUAGUAGAAGCAUGUUGCGGGAUAGCACUUGGCAUUUAUACUUCUAUGGUUGAUGUUGAAUAAGAUAAUAUUUAGUUAGUAGCUUUUGAAUGUUUAAAUCUAUUUACUUCUUUUUUUACCCGUAUUCUGAACAUGCUUUGAUUUCUUUUGCAUUUUGAUGUCAAACUUUUGCUUUUCACUUCAUAGGCAUGCAUCCGGAUCGAUAUUAUUCUCUCUUUCACUUGACAAUAUUUUUGCUGAGUUAACAUGUCCCUUNNNNNNNNNNNNNNNNNNNNNNNNNNNNNNNNNNNNNNNNNNNNNNNNNNNNNNNNNNNNNNNGAAUAUUUGUGUUAAGACAUUUAUUGUUCUAUUUUUUCCUUUUGUAUUUCAGAUAUGUUUUGAUUUCUUCUCUUUCUUUUUUUUCGCAUGUAAACCACCUUGGAGUCCAAAUGGACUCUUCUUCCUUGCAUUUCAUGGUGAGCCAACAUGGCCCUCAUCCUUUGACUCAAGCCUGAAAAAGAAUCUAAACACCUAUCACGUGGCGUAUGGAUACUAAGAAUCGAAAGAAGAACGAAUUGAGUAAAGUCCUAUCAUUUGAAGCGGCUACGAGACCCCAAAGUCUCAUUUAUUAUUUUUGUUUAUUUACUUAUUGUCGUCUUCAUUUACUUAUUUAUUUAUUUAUUUAUUUCCUUAUUUAUUCAUUUGGGCCUCGAAGCCAAAGUUGUACUUAAUACAGGUGAAGCGAGACUCAAGCUAAAGGCUCGAAAACAUAUAAUAAGGGUAGGUGGAAGACGGGUUGAAAGCCCAAUAUCUAGAUUAGGACUGGGUUGUCGAUUUGGGCCUAAUGGCUCAAGUCCUUCUGCUUCUACCCUUUCCCUUUUACUUUUGCUAAUUUGUUUAUGUGUUUUCUUAUAAACCUAGUUAAAAUCCCUAACUAAGUCGCUAAAAACUGGUUUUGCAUAAACCUUAAAAAUAUUUCCUCAACAAACUACUUUUUCCAACAAAUCUAUAUUUUUUCAAAGUUAGUCAAAAGCAUUUUCAAACAGAUCAGAUAACCGCAAGUUAGCAGAACGUUUUAGGUGCCUAACACCUUUCUAAAACGUUAAUAGGAACCACUUACUCGGAAUCUCUAAGUCAAAAUGAUUUUCUUGUUUUGAAUCGUUUCGAAGUAACUCUCUAAAGGUUUCUUAAUUCCUUUUCAAAAUUAAGUGGCGACUCUUCGCAAAAAGUCAAAAUUUCUCUACAAAAUAGAAAUGAUGACUUUGUUGGGGAUUUGUAACUAGGUUCUAACCAAAUGUUUGAUUUUGUCUUUUGAUUAACUGUUUAUGUGUUUAUAUGUUUUGAUUCUGUAAAGUUCAACUAUCGCAUCUCAUAGCAUAUUCCUGCAUUAUUUAAAUUGUUUUGGUGUUUCGUGGAUGUCCCAGCCCCUAUUGUUCAAUUCCAAAAUAUGUUGGAAAUACGAACAGCUUAUUAGCACGUGAGUCGUCUGACGCUGUUUGUAUUUUGAAACUCAAGUUGUUCGCUUGAGAACCAGUGUACAAACCCACUCUAGACUCCGAGGAUAGAACGAAACCAAAACCCUAUUUUAGGCAUGAGCCUAGGAUAACCCAAUACCUGAGCGGGGUAUUGGGCCUAUUAGAAAACCUACCCUGCGUUUAUUGACCCCGAGUCAAUUACAGACGAAUCAUAUUUAUGUGUUGUAAAAACUACAUGCUUGUCUAAAUUCAAUCCAUUAUCCUUUGGGGUCGGGGUAAGGCUUAUCUUUGUCUGCUUUCAUGUAGGAUAUGUCUUAACUACAUUCCCACAAAAAGUUCAAGAUGGUUACUAAACCUAAUAAUUUGUUGAAACUAUGGUGGGACCACAUGAGCGCAGAAGAGAAAAAGAUUGUUAGAACACUCAUUGGGCAUCUUCCUUCUUUGAUAGAGAUGGACGCUUGGCCCGAAAUGAUCCAUGUACUAACAACCUUUUGGGAUGAUUAGAAUAUGGUAUUUCGCUUCCGGGAUGUUGAAUUGACUCCCACCAUUGAAGAGGUAUUGAUUUGUUACGAGAAUACGGAAAUGUGUUUUAAGAGAAGGGAGACACCUGAUAAGAACAUUUUAGUCCCGGUUGUGUGGGUUCGUCGAAAGAUUAAAGAGGUAUUUUUAACUGACAACGACACCUGUCUAGGAGAACGUGAUAAAGCAAAUAUCACUUUUCACGAGUUGUAUCAUCGGUUCGAAAGAUUCAAUGCUUUUCACAAAUUUAGGCAUAAAUUUGAGUCAGAAGAAAAAUAAAAGGAGACGAGAGCCUUUGCGUUUGUGGAAGGCCUACUUGGAACCAUGGUGUUCCCACAGGAUGAAAAUGGCACAAUUAAUCCGAGUGUUGUCUCAGUGACCCAUGAUUUCUUAUUUGGAAUGGAGUACAAUUCUAAAAAGGUAUUCCAUAACUUAGCUACCAUGAUUGUCGCCGACAUAUAUCAAGCUUUGGGAAGAUGUCAAGUCGAGAAUCGCUUCUUUCAAGGCUGCAACCUUAUAUUACAAUGGUGGAUGAUGAUGUAUUUGGUGAAAAAUCCUAGAACGACACAACCUGACCAUAAAACAAGGUGGAAUAUGCUAGAAUCGCACAACAUGUGGUUGUUUUUACACAAAUUCGAAAGGGAAGAAUCUCAUGAAUUUGGUUUAAGACUUUGGAGAAUUAAGAGAUGAUGAUGUCCAAUGGUCCAUUAACUAUCUUCAUUUAGGGAAAUACAUUAUUUGAGGAGAUGAGUGGCCUUUUAUAGUGCUUCCGGGUCUCAGGGGAACCCAUCCCUACAAUCCUGGCCAAGUUCUUAGGCAAUUCGAGAUCAAGCAGGAGACGCCUCAAAUCGAUUCUAUGCUUAGAUUCUUCAUCGAAUAUGAUGAAAGUGAGCCCCUGCUCAAAGAAUACAUGAAAACGGGUGGAGAAGGAGAAGGUGGAAGGAAGUCUCUUUCCAUAUAGGGUAUGAACCUGAAGUCAGCGACACUUACAAAGAACGGUGUAAAAAGAGCCUCGUUGGAGCAUUGAUUCCGGGGCCGAACGUGCCCACUCGAGUCGUAGAUAUAGAAUCUUAGCAUUAGAUCCGACUCCACAGGCUUCAGGAUGAGUUUCAGAAAAGUGAAAUCGCACACUGACAAAUACAUGUAGAAGAUGCUUUAAUAAUGCGUAUGUUGAGGGAAGAGUUGAAAAGAGCUAGGCAAGAGGCUAAUGAAGAACAUCCCUACUUCACCCGAUCGAAAGCGCGCAAAAUCCCAUCCUCUGACCAUCAUUCAAAAAUGAUAGGAAAUGAUGAAGAAAGCACACUGACUAUCCGGAACAAUGUGAUAGAGGAACAGAAUGAGAUGAUUGCAGAACUUACAAGAAAGUUAUAAAUACUUUAGGAAGAAAUAAAUCGCACUCGGGAUUUCGCUAAGUUGGCCAUCACCGUCAAUGCUCCGGCUCUGAUAGAACAUGGGACUCCACUCCAAAUUCCUCCCCUCAGCACCCCUACACUUGGGAUUAGCCAAAUAACGUAUCGUGCAUCUUCGCUCCCCCAUUUGUCCUAAAUACCAAUCAUGAAAAUAAUCCAGACGCCUACCAUCCGCAAAAUCCAUCUCUGACCCCACAGAACCCGUCUUCGAAUCCAUUCCCAAAUCCUCAAAAAAUAUUUUCAAAUCAACAAAAUACAUUCCAAAAUCCACAAGAUUCACUCUCAAACCCACAAAAUACGUCAAACCUACCUUCAAAUCCCCCAAAUUCAUUUCCAAAUCCGCAAAAUCCUUCUCAGAUUUUGCCAAACUACUCGCAAAGUCUGCAAAACUUUCCCAAUUUCCAAAACGUCCUUCCCACUUACCAACCAAAUUAUUUUCAUCCAUAAAAUCAAGCCUCCCUUCCAAAUCCCCCUCAGGCCAUCGUAUCCCCUGAUAUUUAUAAACCCCUUCAUAAUUCCAAGAUGGACCAUUACAAGGAGAAUGAGAAAGAGUGGAGGACCGAGCAUGAAAGGAAUUUUCUAGCUAUGAAGGAAGAGAUCAUGAGGAUCAAAGAGUCUCAUGGAGCCAGGGACCACGACGGUUUGGGUUAUGACAAUUUAUGUGUUCACCCUGGAGUAGACCUACCAGAUGGGUACAAAGUUCCUAAGUUUGAAAUAUUUAACGGUACCAGAAAUCCAAUGGCCUAUCUGAGAAGGUACUGUAAGCAACUGGUAGGGAUAGGGGAAAAUGAGGUUGAUGCGCCUAUUCAAUCGAAGUUUAAGUGGCGAAGUCUUAGAAUGGUUCAUGUCUCAGGAGCCGAAAAGAUGGACUGGUUGGAAAGCAUUGGCCAAGGGUUUCCUUGACAGGUUCUCAUUCAACAUUAAAAUAGUCCCUGAUCAAUAUUCACUAGAUCGGAUCAAAUAGAAGAAUGAUGAGAGUUUUCGAAACUAUGCUUUUCAUUAGAGAAAAAAAGCUGCCAAAGUACAACCCCCCAUGUCCGAGGAAGAAAUGGUAUCUAUGUUCUCUCGUGCGCAAGAAGGAGAAUAUUAUACCAAGAUGGUGUCAGCUGUGAGGGAAACUUUUGUGGAUUUGGUAAAAAUAGGAGAAUCAUUAGAAGAAGGUAUUCAAACAGGAAAAAUUGCCAAAACCCCGGCAUCGUCUGAGGUGCCAUGUUUUCGAAGAAGAAAAAGGAAGAUGUAGGCACGAUUUCUGCUAAUCCUGUUGCAAAACAAAAAGGAAGAUCAACUCUAGGAAUGUUUUCUCUUCUCCAUUGUCACCAAGCCUUCAACAUGUAUUCUAUGCCCACCCCCAAUACCAAGCUCCACAACCAAAUAUCUCCCACCAAUACCAAGCUCCACUCCUAGACCUCCAAUCUUCAUACCAAGCUCCACAGCCAAAUAUCUUUCCCCAAUACCCAGUUUCACAUCCAAAUUAUCAGUCUCAUUUUCAAUCCACUCCUCCAAAUAAUUGAACAAAUUCCCAAAAACCUCCAAAUUAUCACCAAGUACCUCCUCCUACUAAUCAAAACCAUCAACCCCCCCCUACAAAAUCAAAUCCAUUAUAACCCCCCACGUCCAAACCACAAAAAGAAACCUCCCUAAAAUUUCACCCCACUAGCUGAAAGUUGAACCCAAUUGUUUGAAAGAUUGAAGAAUGCUGGUCAUUUGCAACCAAUACAGCCAAGGCCUAUCAAUCCCAACUCUUGAUUUUUUAAUGCAAGUCAACAUUUUGACUAUUAUUCAGGAGAAGUGGGGCAUAGUACUGAGGAUUGUAUCUAUCUGAAACAUAGGAUCUAGGAUUUAAUCGAUCAUAAGGUCAUCACGCUCCAGGCACCUACACCAAAUUUUAACAAUAAUCCAUUGCCCAGUCAUGAGGGACCUACAGUUAAUAUGAUUGAAAUUAAGGGUGAAUGGGCAUCUGGCAAGAUCAUUACUAAGGUAAACUCUGAAAAACCUAGAAGGGCAGAAGAGGUAGAAAAGAUAGAGAGGCUUGUGGCUGCCUUAAGUGUUAAUGAGAAAGCCCCAUUUAUAGUGAUGGCGGCUCCAAGUCUGGUGAACCCUCCCACAUCAAAGAAGGAAUUCAUUGUACAGAUCAUUGCUGCCCAAGGGAUGACACGGUCAGGACGAUGCAAUAUCCCUAAGGAAUUGACAAACAAAAAAGAUUCACAGAAAAAGCCAAUCACUGAAGGAGAGGCUAAAGAAUUUUGGAGGCAUAUGCAACCAAAUGAUUACUCAAUUGUGAAACAUUUAGAGAAGACACCAGCCUAAAUCUCUGUUUUGACACUAUUAAUGAGUUCACAAUACCACCGACAAGCUUUAUUGAAGGUCUUGGAUGAAGUGUAUGUUCCCGUAGGAACGAGUGUUGAGAACCUGGUUGCGGAGAUAGGAAACAUUGUAGGGAAUCAUUAAAUAUCAUUUAGUGAUGAAAAGUUGCCGUUUAAAGGAGUGAUGCACAACAAAGCCUUGCAUAUCACUGUCAUUUAUUGAGAUUAUGCGAUUAAUCAGGUAUUAAUAGACGAUGGAUCUGGUGUAAAUAUUUUCCCCCGCUCUACAUUGGUUAAAAUGGGCUAUGAUCUGGGGAAAAUUUGUCAAACCUACGUAAAUGUGAGAGCAUUCGAUGGAGGGCAGAGAGAUACCAUAGAAGAAAUUGAUUUGUACAUCCAAAUAGGACCUGUUGAGUUCAAAACUAAGUUUUAUGUUAUGGAUAUCCAUCCUAGCUACAACUUACUCUUGGGAAGACCAUGGAUACAUAGUGCAAAGGUAGUUUCGUCACCCCUUCAUCAAUUAUUGAAGUUCAUUUGGGAGGAUCUUGAAGUAGCCAUCCAAGGAGAGGGAAGUCGAGCGGAUCAUCCCAAUGGUUAUGUUUCGGUGAUUGAAGAUGUUCCAAAAGGUAGCAGUUUCUAUAUAGUGGAAAUUGCAAAUGCUGUGGACAGGGAUUCAAUGUCCAAAGUGCCAAUGCCUUCUGUCUACAAAAUAAUUGCGAUGGUGAUGUUAAGAAAUGGGUUCGAACCCGGUCAAGGUUUGGGUACGAAUUUACAAGGAAUUAUCGAGCCUAUUGUGAUCCCAGAGAAUGGCUCUAAGUAUGGGGUAGGAUAUCAUCCUACCAAGAAGGAUAGGGUUGAGGAUGAGUCAGAAAAGAGUCUGUUUAGGCCCUUGCCACUCAUGUUCCAGUCAUUUCCUGUACGAGAGGUGUCAGAUGAUGAUGGUUUUGGGGAUGGGAUAGGAGAUUUGUUCGAGGGAUGCAAUGCUGUACCAGAAGAUUUCCCAAAGUCCAAUGGAGUGAAGAAGAUUGCGCCAGGGGAGGCCUUACAAAACUGGACCUCUACUCCAGUCAUAACCCAUCGCCCGUCAUGGUAGAGGAAAGGGCAAUUACUAAUAGUUUUUAAAAUCGGUGAUGAUCCGGCGGAGGCCCCGCGAUCCACCUUUUAUAUCUUAAAACUUUCUUUUCAUAUUUUACUGCUUUCAAAAAGGCAUGGACUUGUAUUUGUGCAAGUCAUGAGCCAUGGUUUUGUAAUUAUCUCUCAAAUUUCAGUGAAAAGCCCUUUAUUUAUUUAGAAAAUUCUAUUAUUUCUAAAAUACUCCUAGUAGUAUAUUUUGUUAUUAUCUUGUUAUCAUCUAACUUGGUUUGUUUGUCUCUUACAGUAACAUUAACUUAAAAUCUGCCAAUGUCAUGUCAUGUCAAAGUUUAAACAAAUAAAAUUAAGGGAACGAUGAUGAUUAGAAGGACGAUGAUGAGGGAUAAUUAGUUGAAGAUAUGGAGGAGUUUGAGAAUCGGGAAAAACCCAACCUGGAGGAAACUGAAAUAAUAAACCUCGGAGAUCAUGAUGAAAUCAAAGAAACAAGCAUCAAUGUCCACCUGGCGAAAGCACAAAAGAGAGAGCUCAUUCACCUACUACGGGAAUACAUUGACGUGCUUGCUUGGUCCUAUGAUGACAUGCCGGGAUUGAGCACUAGUAUUGUGUUGCAUAAGUUACCGAUAAAUCUGGAGUUCGAUCCAAUCAAGAAAAAAAUAUGGAAAUUUAAGCCAGAUUUAAGUCUAAAGAUCAAGGAAGAAGUGACAAAACAAAUUCAUUCUAAGGUUGUGGAGGUCACAAAAUAUCCAACGUGGUUGGCCAAUAUCGUCCCUGUGCCAAAGAAGGAUGACAAGAUUCGAAUUUGUGUUGACUAUAGAGACUUGAAUAGAGCUAGUCUAAAGAUAAUUUUUCAUUGCCCAACAUCCAUAUCCUCAUCGAUAACUAUGGAAAGUAUGAAAUGCAGUCAUUCAUUGAUUGUUCCGCCGGGUAUCAUCAGAUAUUGAUGGAUGAGGAAGAUGCAGAGAAAAUGGCUUUUAUUACGCCCUUGGGUGUUUAUCAUUACAGGGUAAUGCCGUUUGGUCUCAAGAACGUGGGUGCAACAUAUACGAGGGAUAUGACGAUGAUUUUCCAUGAUAUAAUCCACAAAGAUAUUGAGGUGUUCAUGGAUGAUGUAAGUAUCAAAUCCCGCGAGUUCGGAUCAUCUGACUCAUCUGGAGAAAUUCUUUAACAGAUUAAGAAAGUACAGUUUGAAGUUAAAUCCUGCUAAGUGUGCUUUUGGUGUGCCAUCAGGGAAGUUGCUGGGGUUCAUAGUCAGCAGAAGAGGUAUCGAGCUAGACCCAUCCAAAAUUAAGACAGUUCAGGACUUACCACCGCCGAGGACCAAGAAGGAAGUUAUAAGUUUCAUAGGUCAUUUGAAUUACAUUAGCAGAUUCAUCGGUCAAUUGAAAAUCAUAUGCGAGCCAAUUCUCAAGAUGGUGAAGAAAAAUGCAUUGAAUAAGUGGACAAAAAAAUGUCAGAGAGCUUUAGACCACAUCAAGGAAUACCUGUCUGCACCGCCGAUUUUGGUUCCACCAAGAGAAAGAAUUCCAUUAUUACUUUACCUGUCAGUCUUAGAAAAUGCUUUUGGAUGUGUCCUUGGGCAACAUGAUAAUUUUACGCCAUAUGAAGCCUGUUAUACUCUUAUAGAAAUGACAUGUUGCACUUUGACUUGAGCCGCACAAAAGUUGAGGCAUUAUCUGUCUUCGUACACAACAUACCUCAUCUCGAGAAUGGAUCCAUUGAAGUAUAUAUUCCAGAAGGCCAUGCCCACAGGAAAGCUAGCCAAGUGGAAAAUGUUGCUGAGUAAGUUUGACAUCAUGUAUGUAACACAAAAGGCAAUUAAGGGGCAAGCCUUAGCAGAUCAUUUGGCAGAGAAUCUGGUUGAUGAGGAAUAUGAGCCACUACGAACUUACUUUCCAGAUAAGGAAACUUUUUUCAUGGGUGAAGACAUUACAGAGAUUUACCCCGGAUGGAGGCUAUUCUUUGAUGGGGCGGUCAACUUCAAAGGUUCAAGAAUCGGAGCAGUUUUGGUGUCAAAAAUGGGCCAACAUUAUCUGGUAACUGCUAAGUUGCGUUUCCCAUGCACCAAUAACAUGGCUGAAUAUGAGGCUUGCAUCUUGGGUCUCAGAUUGGUACUUGAUAUGGGUUUUCAUGAAUUGUUAGUCAUCGGGGAUUCAGAUUUGCUGAUUCACCAGGUACGGGGAGAAUAGGCGGUAAAAAAUCCCAAGAUUACUCCUUAUGUGGAGCUAGUGCAAGAAUUAUGCGAGAGAUUCAAAGAAGUUGUUUUCAGAUAUAUCCCACGGAUACAAAAUGAGUUUGCUGAUGCUUUGGCCACUAUAUCUUCCAUGAUUCAGCACCCAGAUCAAAGUUACAUUGAUCCUUUGGAAAUAAGCUUGAAGUAGUAACCUGUGUAUUGUGCGCACGUGGGAGAGGAGUCUGAUGGAAAGCCUUGGUACUAUGACAUUAAGAGGUAUUUGGAAUCUAGAAUAUAUCUUGAAGAGGCCAGUAACAACCAAAAGAAGACAAUCCGGUGUUUGGCAAAGAACUACUUUCCAAGUGGGGAAUUUCUUUUUAGGAGAACUCCUGAUAUAGGAUUCCUAAGAUGAGUCGAUGCUGCCGAAGCUAAUAAAUUAAUAAAAGAGGUACACGCUAGAGUUUAUGGGCCCCACAUAAAUGGGUUUGCCCUUGCCAGAAAGAUCCUGAGAACCGGUUAUUUUGGAUGACUAUGGAAAAUGAUUGUGGAAAGUAUUUACAGAAAGUCUAAAAUGUCAGAUACACGAAGAUUUGAUUCGAAUGCCUCCAUUUAUAUCUUGGGGCAUAGAUGUUACCGAUAGUGCCACCGGCUUCGAAUGGGCAUAGGUUUAUUUUGGUUGCCAUCAAUUACUUUACUAAGUGGGUUGAAGCUGCUUCAUACAGAGCCGUCACUAAGAAACUGGUUACAGAUUUCAUCAAGAAUAACUUGAUUUGCCGAUUCGGAGUGCCAGAAUCAAUCAUUAUGGAUAAUGGGGCCAACUUGAAUAGUCACUUGAUGAACAAAAUUUGUGAUCAAUUCAAAAUUAUGCAUCACAACUUGACUGCGUAUCGUCCCCAAAUGAACGGAGCUGCGGAAGCUGCCAAUAAGAACAUCAAGAAGAUCUUGAGAAAGAUGGUUGAAAAUGAUAGAUCAUGGCAUGAGAUAUUAACUUAUGCCUUGUUAGGGUAUCGCACGACGGUUCGAACCUCCACCGGGGUAACUCCAUAUCUAUUGGUUUAUGGAAAUGAAGUAGUGAUACCUGCUGAAGUUGAAAUACCUUCCCUAAGGAUUAUCCAAGAAAUAGGACUAAGUAACGAAGAAUGGGUUCAUGCUCACUAUAAACAACUCAUGUUGAUUGAUGAAAAGAGAAUGGUCGUUGUAUGCCAUGGUCAGCUGUAUGAACACAGGAUGGUUCAUGCCUUUAACAAGAAGGUGAGAGCUUAAACAUUUGAAAUGGGGCAACUGGUUCUCAAACGAAUAUUCCCUCACCAAGAGGAGUACAAGGGCAAGUUCGCUCCAAACUGGAAAGGGCCAUACAUAGUUCGCAAGAUACUAUCUGGAGGAGCUCUGAUUUUGUCUGAGAUGGAUGGCACAGAGUAGACCAAACCAAUUAAUUCUGAUGCGGUAAAGAGAUAUUAUGUUUAAAGGGCGUUCUAGUUUUCAUGUUUCUUUAGUUAAUUUACUUGUAAUCGCAUUCGUAGUAAUGUUGUUUUCAAGUAUGUAACUACCUAGAAUCCUUUCCCUUUAUGUAUGAACUACGUUUGACCUGAAUUUCCAAGAGAGGGAUACGUAGGCGGCCUAUGUCAGCUUCGGUCAACUCCUUAAGAUAAUUUAUCCUUUCCCUUUAUGUAUGAACUAUGUUUGACCUGAAUUCCCAAAAGAGGGAUACGUAGGCGGCCUAUGUCGGCUUCGAUCAACCCAUUAAUUUCAUUUGUAUAUCCCUAGCAUAGUUCUGAACUACAUUUGACCUAAUUCCUACUUCAACGGGAUACGUAGGCACCCCAAUGGCCCGGUCAUAUAACCCCAGGAAAUAGAAACUAGGACAAAAUUUUUGAGAAUGAAUCUAAAAAAUUUACAAGACAAGAUCGACGUCCGACAAAGAGAAUGAAGAUCAACAAAGACUUCAAAUCCACUCGAGUUGGUAUCAUCUCAAACAAUAAUAAACUGGGGCAGAAAUUUUGAGGGAAGACCUCAAAAUUUCCACCAGAUACUGGAACAUAUUUCAAAUUCCCCAGCACCAGAGGUUAACGCCAAGCUUUUAAACUAGUCAGCUGCGACAAAGUCUAGGCAAGCUCAAUCUCUUGCUAUGAUAGAAAUACUUGAAGAAAACCUCCAACGAUGAUUAUGAGCUUUGGAAAUCAUUCGUUUGAUAUAGUCAAAACCACGAGGAAGACGUUCGUUGAGCUAGUACAUGACAUGACUGGCAGAGAUUUUCUAGAGUUUUACAUAAGCUUUCGACUAUUUUGAAAAGAAUCUUACAACUCACUUAUUUAGUACUUGCCUAGACAUCACUUGGGAUGGAGUGUCAGGAUGGAAUGUCCUGAUAUGGAGGGAUGCCCAAGAGAUGGAAAGCAGCAAAUUAAGGAUCGAAGAAGGUGAAAAUGGAGUAAUUUCAUUCAAACUAAUCAUUUUUCUGUGGAUGCAGGGAUCAAUACACAAAAGUAAGGGUCUCUUUCAAAAAUUCCUGAGCAAAUUGGGAGCCACAACAGAGUAUUAAUGCCCAAGAACGGUACAUGUAGGAAGCAAGACGCUGAUAAAUGAAGUCAGGUAAAAUCAUUUUAAAAUUUCCCAAGAGGGCCAUUGCAUAUCAUUGCCGAAAGGGCUAUUACAUAUCAUUGCCGAAAGGGCCAUUGCAUAUCAUUGCCGCAAGGGCCAUUACAUAUCAUUGCUGCAAGGGCCAUUAUAUAUCAUUUCCAUAAGGGCCAUUACGUAUCAUUUCCGCAAGGGCCAUUGAAUAUCAUUGCCCCAAGGGUCAUUGCACAUCAUUGCCGCAAGGGCCAUUGCAUGUCAUUGCCGCAAGGGCCAUUGCAUAUCAUUGCCGCAAGGGCUAUUGCAUAUCAUUGCCGUAAGGGCUAUUAGAUAUCAUUGCCGAAAGAGCCAUUGCAUAUCAUUGCCGCAAGGGCCAUUGCAUAUCAUUGCCAAGAGGGCCAUCUCAUACCAUCGCCCAAGAAGGCUAUUCAUAUAUCUGUUGACACGCGAGACACAACGUUGGCAUCGAGGAUAUCAUUAAUAUAUCUGUUGACAUGCGAGACACAAUGCUAGCAUCGAGGAUAUCAUCACCAUUUAAUAUCUAUUGACACGUAAGACAUAAAUGUUGGCAUUGAGGAUAUCAUCAACAUUUCAUAUCUGUUGACUCGUAAGACAUAAACGCUAGCGUCGAGGAUAUCAUCAGCAUUUCAUAUUUGUUGACACGCGAGACACAAUGCUGGCAUUAAGGAUAUCAUCAGCAUUUAAUAUAUCUAUUGACAUGUGAGACAUAACGCUAGCGUCGAGGAUAUCAUCAGAAUUUAAUAUAUCUGCUAACAUGCGAGACACAACGCUGGUAUCGAGGAUAUCAUCAUCAUUUUAUAUUUGUGACACGCAAGACAUAAAUGCUGGUGUCAAAGAUAUUUUAUUAUUUUAUAAAUCAGCAUCUGAAUGUAUCAAAAGCACACUAUUUGAAGGGAUGCCUUUAAGUUACUAUCUAAGGAUGAAUGAUAUAUAAGAUUUCCUAGAAAUUGACAAUUUGAGGGUCAUCUAUAAGUCAUAUUAUUUAAAAUAGGAUAGUGUGCAAGAUCACCUAUGAGUUGAUAGUCUGUAGGUCAUCCAUGUCAUAACAACAUCCUAACCAGAUAGUGUGCAAGAUCGCCCAAAACUCGAUAGUUCAAAGGUUAUCCAUAAGUCGCAACAAAAUCCUUACCAAAGAAUAUGCAAGAUUAUCAAAUUGAUACAUCCAAGGGUUCUCUAUAAACCGCGUCAUAUCCAAGAUCGAUUAUGUGCAGGACUACUCAAAGACUAACAAUUUGAGGGAUUAUCUAUAAGUCGUAUUAUAUCCAAGGUCGGAUGAUGUGCAGGAACCCCUGAAAGCUAGCAAUUGGAGGGAUAUUUGUAAGUCAUCUCUUAUCCAAAGUCGAAAAAUGUGCAGGAUUACCUAAAAGCUAGAAAUUUGAAGGAUAUCUGUAAGUCGCCUCGUAUCCAACAUCAAAUAAUGUGCAAGAUUAUCCAAAGAUUGAUAAUUUAAAGAAAAUUUAUAAAUCGAUCAUCGGCUAUAACCGGAGAGGUUAUCAUUCCACAUACAACAAGUGACAUAGGUAACCAAAAAGGUUGCCACACCAGCACAAGAUUACACGGUUGUAGAGACCGUUCUGCAUAAAGUAUCGUCGGUGUCUAAAAGGGCCACCCCACUUUGAAGACAUAUUAAACCGAUAAAUGUCAUAAUUAUACAACAACCAAGAGGGUUGUUGUGUUUCUUGUUGCCAGUUAUUUCAUUCUAAAUAGGUACAUGAAGAGAUGACUCCAUUUUUCAGGCCACAACUCACUUGGAGAUAUGGUAAAAAACUAUAUAAUUAUGUUUAGUACUGACAUUUUUUAUUUGAAGCAUUGUCGAGAGCAUCCGAGAGGAUGAAAAUCUCAAAUAAAAACCACAGGUGCGGACUACUUCAAGUAGGACGCAGCACAACGUGAAACUCUUUUUUAGCAGCAAAAUGGGACAUAGUCUAAAGAGGGACGUCAAACUCUUUAGACGCGAGCUAAAGAAUGAUUACCACCACCAUCCAACCACAUCCCUAUUAGAAGGCAUGUGGUUAUUUCAGGGUAUUCUGGUUUCAGCUUUACUUUCGAGAUAUUUUUAAACUCAUAACGAGGGUAACCUUCUCUUUUUUUCAAAUUUGGGUGGCAACACACUUAGAGUUUUGGAAAUUAUGUCCAGGUAAGUUCUUGCCUAUAGAUGUGAAGGAUCCCAAAUUCAUGGUUAAGAGGUUACAAGACUUUUUUGAAACUCGAUCAACUUGUCACUCAUCCUGAGCCAAAGAUCAUCUGAAAUAAAAGACUAUCUUUCCUACCAAUCGAGUCAAACUACAAGCAGUUUGAUUCUCUAAUGUCUUGGGGAUAUGUAGGCUGGGCUCUAUAUAGAAAACACAAUUGCAUUCCAACCUCUCACCAAAUCCCUUUAUUCCCCAGCUUUCUAGUUUUAUCAAAAACUCAAAAAAUUGAGACAGCUUGUGAAUUUUUUAAAAAUCAGGCUUUAAAUCAAGCUUUAUGAACUACAAGUGGCCUGAAUUCUCAUGCAACCUGAGGUAUGUAGGAAACCUGAUGCCAAGGUUCGUCCAUAACUCUAGAAACUCGUGUGGAAAACCAACUGCUCUUAGAUACAAAUUUAUGGUCGGACAAAAAUUAGGAGUGUCAACCUCCCUUUACCCAGAAUUACUUGCAUCCAUCCUACCCAAAGGGAGGGGGCAGUUGUUGACACCUAAUUUUUGACUUCCACAACUACAUUUAAUCUCGAGUUUCUUCAAUUUUUAAAUAAAAUCACAUCGAUUAUUUUUUUCCAAAUAAAUGCAUUUUAAAAUAGGCAUUUAGGCUAAAUUUGUCAUUUAAGUGAUAAUUAUAGAUUUUUUCAUAUUUGCAUAUACGAGAUUGUAUAAAUGAUGUCAUUUAAAUAAACAUUUUCAUCAAAAUUCGACUUUUAUUUAAGGAAUAUUUGGAAAAUAAAUUUAAAUAAUUAAAUCUUGAUUUAAAUAUAAUUUAUUAUCACAAAUAAUCUAUUUGGAGAAAUACUUGUUUGGUUUUAUUAAGUCAAGAAGCUCUGGACUGAGUGAAGUAUUUAUUUGUAUCGAAUUUUGGUUAAUUUGGGCCAAUCUAUUAAAUUUGGCAAAAAUCAAAAUCAAAUCGGCCUCGAUUGCAAUGCAAUUGGCUAAUUGAUUUUCAAUUAGGAUAAAAUUUAAAUGGAUUUAGUUGAUUCUUAAUUCAAUUGGGGUUAUUUGUUAAAUAACCCCAAUUUCAGCCUAUUCUUUAUCUUUAAUCACCGGCCUAAAACAAAACAAUAUCAGACCUGGGCCCAUUUAUUCAUGCAAUUUCAAUGGCCCAACCUCAAUAAAACUUUCAGCCACCAUACCCUUCCCUAGACCAAUCCAAUAAAAGCCGCAACCCGGGCCCAAUCCACCCUUAUCUUCUUAUCCACAACUAUCAACACCAUUCAAUUUAAUAACAGCGUACAAUUCAACCUUCAACAUCGACGACAAAAUCAAUCCAAAUCACAACUCUCCACCCAAAUCCAAGGACCCAAUAACACCCCCCAACAACUCGCCGACCCAAGCUCCAACCCAUCUGUUUCUUCAUCGUCAUGUGCCUUUCCACACGAAUUCGUAUAGAAAAGUUUGAAAACCUUCUAGAACGAACCUAGCUGUCAUCGUACAAUGUCUAUAUUUUGCAAAUCUCGAGACAUAUGGUACAAUUUGGUACAUUUGUGGGGGAAUUUGAUUGGCUUAAGAAAGAUUCCAUUUCUCUGCAUUGAUUUCCCUGGGGGGAAUAAUCCAAGUAGGUACAAGUCAUUUGUUUUGGAAACCCUAGCCUCAAUUUGAAUUUUGAAUUUCUCUCCUUUUUCAAAUCUCUAAAUUACCCCUAAUUGGUCUUCUAUAUAAGAACCCAUUUGGGUCACUGUUAGGGGGGUCGAAAAAAUUUUGGGGGGUUCUUUGGAGGCUGAUAAUUCUGGGGUUUAGUAAAUUUUCUAAAAACCUAGGUUGAACAAAAAAUUUUCUUUUGGGUAAAAGAAGGAAGGUUUCGAAAAAGAGUAAUUUGGUUUUGGGGAAAGAGCAACUUUGUUCGGUAAAGAUUUUAGGGAGAAACAGUUAGCUAGUCGAGUGUUCACGAUGGUAUUAAGCUUUCUUGGUGGUGAUAAGGGUCCGAUCUUAUCUCGUUUCCCCGUUUCGCUACUCCGAGAGAGGUAAACACCUCUUUUCAUUUAAAUUUUGAUGUGGUUUUCUUUUCUUUAUUUCUUUCUUUAGGAUUUCGUUAUAGUAAUGUUGUUGAGUGCUAGGAUUAUGUGUUGUAGGAGACGUGAAGGCCAUUGAAUUUUUAGUCUGGUAUUUGUUUAAAGAAAUUUUCCUUAUCAGUUUGUUUUACUGGUUGUUCCAUGGGUUUCUCCUUUUCUCUAUGUAAACUUGUUCAAUACAUUGUCAGUGCGAACCAUGGUUUUACAUGAAAGGUUACUUUUUUUAUACCUGUAUAUUUCGUCUGACCUGAAUAUGGAAGCAAGCCUCAAAUGACAACAUUUAUUAGUAUCUUGAAUGAAAUUCAUUAACUGCUUUUGUGUAAAUGAGAUAAUGACUUAAUGUCUCAAAUAAUGUUGUACUGCUUUGUUGUGCACCGGACUAAUUGAAUAUAUAUUAACCUCAGUUUUAUCGCGGAAUGCCCUGUCUUAUUAAAAACUCUCCUGAUCGCUAUCUUUCUGUAUUUGACUAUUUCAGUUGAGGUUUUCUUCAUGGAAUUUGUUAGGUAGAAGUUACCUUUGCUGGAUUUCUAGUUAAUCUUUCCUGCUUACCUGUUUUACUCAAAAUCUGUGGAGCUUCUCUGGUUGUUAUUUCGAGUAAAGUGUUGUGAAAACUUCCCAAUGAACUCUUGGCUCGUGAUUCUCCGUGACUUGCCAGAGAGAGAGAGAGAUGUUGGUUUAAAGAAUUUUCACUUGAUUAUUGGUUAUUCGUUCCCCUUUGAAAUUUAAUUCUGACAUGUUUGAUUCGGAAAUGAGAUUUCCAGGUUCCAUCUAGCAUUAGUUCGUAGUAGUUGUUGUCUACUGGACUACCUCUGUAUAGGGAUUUUAUAUAUACUUAUGCGAAUAGAAAGCAUUCCAGUCUCAC
rnacentral:lncRNA from 1 species